AUUGAACGCUGGCGGCAUGCCUUACACAUGCAAGUCGAACGGCAGCACGGGAGCAAUCCUGGUGGCGAGUGGCGAACGGGUGAGUAACAUAUCGGAACGUGCCCAGUAGUGGGGGAUAACCCGGCGAAAGCCGGACUAAUACCGCAUACGACCUACGGGUGAAAGCAGGGGAUCGCAAGACCUUGCGCUAUCGGAGCGGCCGAUAUCAGAUUAGCUUGUUGGUGGGGUAAAAGCCUACCAAGGCGACGAUCUGUAGCUGGUCUGAGAGGACGACCAGCCACACUGGGACUGAGACACGGCCCAGACUCCUACGGGAGGCAGCAGUGGGGAAUUUUGGACAAUGGGCGCAAGCCUGAUCCAGCCAUGCCGCGUGCGGGAAGAAGGCCUCGGUGUAACG
rnacentral:rRNA from 1 species